rnacentral:misc_RNA from 1 species
UCCGACUUCACGUCGGCAGUAUCGUUAGAGUGCUCAGCGUACCUGUUAGCAACUAACGACGAGGGUUGCGCUCGUUGCGGGACUUAACCCAACAUCUCACGGCACGAGCUGACGACAGCCAUGCAGCACCUUCUCACCGGUUCCCCGAAGGGCACUCCCUAGUCUCCUAAGGAUUCCGGUGGAUUUAACCCAGGUAAGGUUCUUCGCGUUGCGUCGAAUUAAACCACAUGCUCCGCUGCUUGUGCGGGCCCCCGUCAAUUCCUUUGAGUUUUAGUCUUGCGACCGUGCUCCCCAGGUGCAGGACUUAACGCGUUAGCUCCGGGACGCUCCACGAACGUGAAGCACCCCAAGUCCUGAUCGUUUAGGGCUAGGACUAC